rnacentral:rRNA from 1 species
UACGUAGGGUGCAAGCGUUAUCCGGAAUUAUUGGGCGUAAAGAGCUCGUAGGCGGUUUGUCGCGUCUGCUGUGAAAACCCGAGGCUCAACCUCGGGCCUGCAGUGGGUACGGGCAGACUAGAGUGCGGUAGGGGAGAUUGGAAUUCCUGGUGUAGCGGUGGAAUGCGCAGAUAUCAGGAGGAACACCUAUAGCGAAGGCAGCUUGCUGGGACGUUACUGACGCUAAGGCGCGAAAGCGUGGGGAGCGAACAGG